GUGGUGAUGCUGGAAGUCGUGGGCACCUCCCCAGUCG
rnacentral:scRNA from 1 species